UGAGUGAAGAAGGGUUUCGGCUCGUAAAGCUCUGUUGUUAAAGAAGAACAUAUCUGAGAGUAACUGUUCAGGUAUUGACGGUAUUUAACCAGAAAGCCACGGCUAACUACGUGCCAGCAGCCGCGGUAAUACGUAGGUGGCAAGCGUUGUCCGGAUUUAUUGGGCGUAAAGCGAGCGCAGGCGGUUUUUUAAGUCUGAUGUGAAAGCCUUCGGCUCAAUCGAAGAAGUGCAUCGGAAACUGGGAAACUUGAGUGCAGAAGAGGACAGUGGAACUCCAUGUGUAGCGGUGAAAUGCGUAGAUAUAUGGAAGAACACCAGUGGCGAAGGCGGCUGUCUGGUCUGUAACUGACGCUGAGGCUCGAAAGUAUGGGUAGCAAACAGGAUUAGAUACCCUGGUAGUCCAUACCGUAAACGAUGAUGCUAGUGUGGAGGGUUCCGCCCUUCAGUGCUGCAGCUACGCAUAAGCAUUCGCCUGGGGAUACG
rnacentral:rRNA from 2 species